AGAGUGCCUUGUUGCUGAUCGCCACAUGUUGGGAGCGGCUAGAGAACGUCACUACAGUAUUCUGCAUGUUAUUCACCAGUUAUUUUUCCUUUCACGUCUGUUAUGCUGAAAGAUUGUAGUCUACUUUGGAAUUCGUUCAAAGGGCACUUUUGGUAUUAACCCAGACCAUGGACGCAAGGCUGAGAAAAAAAGCAAGGAAAGAGAACCCAAAAAUAUUCAGUUUGACGAAAAAAUCAUGGAUUCUGAAUGGAAUGUUUACAGGAUGAUGGUGAAACAAAAAAAGUGAAGCACUAGGGUGGACCUAACAAGGAGUUGGAAGAAAACCUAAUGUUCAACUGAUUUUUGAACACCUAAAAAUGUACAAGAUAGAUCAAACUGUUACAAAGAGAUUAUGAUAAAGUUAUUUAUUGUGCCUGGAAUGGACAUAUGCCAAAUGCAGAAUCCAGGUG